CUACGUAGGGGGCAAGCGUUGUCCGGAUUUAUUGGGCGUAAAAGCGCGUGUAGGCGGCCAGAUAGGUCUGCUGUGAAACUCGAGGCUCAACCUCGAGCUGUCGGCGGAAACCAUCUGGCUAGAGUCCGGAAGAGGAGAGUGGAAUUCCUGGUGUAGCGGUGAAAUGCGCAGAUAUCAGGAAGACACCUAUGGCGAAGGCAGCUCUC
rnacentral:rRNA from 1 species